GCCAGCGAUGUCUGGUAGAGAAGGAGGAGCAGGAUGAUGAUGAUGAAGAGGAGGAGGAGGAGCAGGAAGGCCAGCAAUAUCUGGUAGAGGAGGAAGAGGAUGAGGGCUCUCAAUGUCUGGUAGAGGAGGAGGAGGACGGGGAGGAGGAGGAGGAGGGCCAGUGAUGUCUGGAAGAGAAGGAUGAGGAGGAGGAGGAGGAAGGCCAGUGAUGUCUGGUUCAGGAGGAGGAGGAAGGCCAGCAAUGUCUGGUAGAGGAGGAGGAGUUGGAGAAGGAGGAGGAGGGUCAGCAAUGUCUGGUAGAAGAGGAGGAGGAGGGUCAGUGAUGUCUCGUAGAAGAGGAGGAGGAGUGCCGGUGAUGUACGGUGGAGGAGGAGGAGGGCCACAGAUGUCUGGUAGAAGAGGAGGAGGAGGGACAGCAAUGUAUGGUAGAGGUGAGGAGGAGGAGGGCCAGCAAUGCCUGGUAGAAUAGGAGGAUGAGGAAAAGAGCUAGAGACAUCUGGUAGAUUAGCAGGAUGAGAAGGAGUAGGAGGAGUAGGAGGAAGGUCAGCGAUGUCUGGUUGAAGAGGAGGAGGAGAAGGAGGAGGAGGACUAGGAGGUGGAAGAGGAGGAGGAGGAGGAGAAGUGCCAGGGAUGUCUGGGAGAGAAGGAGUAGGAUGAGCAUGAGGAGGAGGAAAGUCAGCAAUUUCUCCUAGAUGAGGAGGAGGAGGAGUAGGGCCAUGAAUGACUGAUAGGGGAGGAGGGAGAGGAGGAGAAAGAUGUGGAGGAGGGUCAGCAAUAUCUGGUAGGGGAGUCGGAGGAGGAGGGCCAGUGAUGUCUGUUAGAGAAGGAGGAGGAGGAGGAGAAGGAGAAGGAGGAAGAGGAAAGGCAGUGAUGUCUGGUAGAGGAGUAGGAGAAGGAGGAAGAGGGCCAGCAAUGUCUGGAGGAGGAGUAGGGGGAGGAGGAGGAAGAGGGUCAGCGAUGUUUGCUAGAAGAGGAGGAGGAGCGCUAUUGAUGUCUGGUGGAGGAGGAGCAGGAGGAGCAGGAGGAGAAGGAGGGCCAGAGAUGUCUGGUAGAGGAAGAGGAGGGACAGCAAUGUAUGGUAGAUGAGAAGGAGGAGGAGGGCCAGCAAUGUUUGGUAGAGAACAAGUAGGGUGAGGAUGAGGAGGGGGAGGAAGGCCAGCAAUGUCUGGUGGACGAGGAGGAGGAGGACCAGCACUAUCUCGUAGAGGAGGAGGAGGAGGGUCAGUGAUGUCUGGUAGAGGAGGAGGAGGAGGAGGAGGACAAGAGCCAGCAAUGUCUGGUACAGGAGAAGGAAGAGGAGGAGGAGGAGGAGGAGGAGGAAGAGGAUGGUCUGUGAUGUCUGGUAGAAGAGGAGGAGCAGGGCCAGUGAUGUCUGUUAGAGGAGGAGGAGGAGGAAUAGGAGGAGGAGGAGGGCCAGAGAUGUCCGUUAGAGGAGGAGGAUUAGGGCCAGCAUUGUUUGGUAGAGGAGGGGGAGGAGGAGGAGGAGGAGGAGGAGGAGGAGGAGGAGGAGGAAGUGGAGGAGCCCUUGCAAUGAGGAGGAGCAGGAGCAGGAAGAGGAGGAGUAUGAGUAUGAGGAUGAGGAGGAUGGUCAGCAAUAUCUGGUAGAGAAGGAGGAGGAGGAGGAGGAUGUGGUCCAGCGAUGUCUGGUUGAGGAGGAGGAGGAUGGCCAGCAAUGUCUGUAGAUAAGAAAUAGGAUGAGGAGGAGGAGGGAGGAGGAGGAGGAGCAGGGCCAGCAAUGUCUGGUAGAGGAGGAGGAUUCGGAGGAGGAGGAAGGCCAGUGAUGUCUGAUAGAGGAGGAGGAGGAAUGCCAGCAAUGUCCGGUAGAGAAGGUUGCAGAGGAGGAGGAAAGCCAGGAUCAUCUGGUAGAGGAGGAGGAGGAGGAGGAGGGCUAGCAAUGUCUGGUAGAGGAGGAGGAGGAGGAUGAGGAGAAGGGCUAGCAAUGUCUGGUAGAGAAGGAGGAGGAUGAGAAUGAUUAGGAGGAAAAGGAGGAAGGCCAGAGAUGUCAGGUAGAGAAGGAGGAAGAGGAGGAGGAGGAGGAAGAAGAGGGCCAGAAAUCUCUGGUAGAGGAGGAGGAGGGCCAGCAAUGUCUUAGAGGAGGAGGAGGGCCAGUGAUGCCUGGUAGAUGAGGAGGAGGAGGGCCAGCAUUGUAUGGUUGAGGAGGCGGAGGAGGGCCAGCGAUGUCUGGUAGAGGAGGAGGAGGAAGAGGAGGAGAAGGAGGAAGAGGAGGAGGAGGGGGGCCAGAGAUGUCUGGUGGAGGAGGAGUAGGGCCAGAAAAGUAUGGUAGAAGAGGAGAAGGAGGGAGGAGGGCCAGCAAUGUCUGGCGGUGGUGGUGGAGGAGGAGGAGGAGAAGGGCUAGCAAUGUCUGGUAGAGGAGGAGGAGGAGGGAGGAGGAGAAGGGCUAGCAAUGUCUGGUAGAGAAGGAGGAGGAUGAGAAUGAUUAGGAGGAAAAGGAGGAAGGCCAGAGAUGUCAGGUAGAGAAGGAGGAGGAGGAGGAGGAGGAGGAGGAAGAGGGCCAGCAAUCUCUGGGAGAGGAGGAGGAGGGCCAGCAAUGUCUUAGAGGAGGAGGAGGGCCAGUGAUGCCUGGUAGAUGAGGAGGAGGAGGGCCAGCAUUGUAUGGUUGAGGAGGCGGAGGAGGGCCAGCGAUGUCUGGUAGAGGAGGAGGAGGAGGGUCAGUGAUGUCUGGUAGAGGAGAAGGAGGAGGAGUGUCAGCAAUAUCUGGUAGAAGAGGAGGAGGAGGUUUAGCGAUGUCUGGUAGAGGAGGAGGAGGAGGAGGAGGAUUAAGAGGUGGAGGAGCAGGAGGAGAAGGGCCAUCGAUGUCUGGUAGAGGAGGAUGAGCAGGAUGAGGAAGACAAGGAGAGGCAAGUGUGUCUGGUGGAGGUGGAGGAGAAAGUGGAGGAGGAGGGAGGAAGAGAGGCAGCGAUGUCUAGUAGAGGAAGCAGAGGAGGAGGAGGAGCAGGAGGAGGAGCAGGAGGAAGGCCAGCGAUGUCUGGAAGAACAGGAGGAAGAGGGCCAGCAAUGUAUGUUAGAGGAGGAGGAGGAAGAGGGCCCUUAAUGUCUGGUAGAGGAGGAGGAGUGCCAAUGAUGUCUGGUAGAGCAGGAAGAGGAGGAGGAUGGCCAGCAACAUCUGGUGGAGGAGGAGGAGAAGAGAGGCCAGCAAAGUCUGGUAGAGGAGUAGGAGGGGGGCAGGAAUUUCUGGUAGACCAGGAGGAGGGCCAGCAAUGUCUGGCAGAGGAGGAGGACAAGUGCCCUGAAUGUCUCAUAGAGUAGGAGGAGGAGGAGUAGCAGGAGGAGGAUCAAGAGGGCCAGUGAUGUCUGGGAGAGAAGGAGGAGGAGGAGGAGGAGGAAGGCCAGCGAUGUCUGGUAGUGAAGGAGGAGGAUGAGGAUGAGGAGGUGGAUGGCCAUCAAUGUCUGAUAGAGGAGGAGGAAGACCAGCAAUGCCUGGUAGAAGAGGAAGAGGAGGGCCAGCGAUGUCUUGUAGAGAAGGAGGAGGAUGAGGAUGAGGACGAGGAAGGCCAGCAAUGUCUGGUAGAGCAGGAGGACGAGGAGGGCCAGCAAUGUCUGGUAGAGGAGGAGGAGGAGCAGGAGGGCACGCAAAUUUUGGUUGAGGAGGAGGAGGAGGGCCAGUGAUGUGUGGUAGAGAAGGAGGAGGAGGAGGAAGAGGAGGAGGAUUAGAGCCAGAAUUGUCUGGGAGAGGAGGAGGAGGUGGGCCAGCAAUGUCUGGUAGAGGAGGACAAGGUGGAGAAAGAGGAGGAGGGUCAGCAAUGUCUCGUAGAAGAGGACGAGGUGUGCCAGUGAUGUAUGGUAGAGGAGGAGCAGGAGGAAGAGGAGGAGGAGGAGGGCCAGAGAUGUCAGGUAGCAGAGGAAGAGGAAGGCCAGCAAUUUGUGGUAGAGGAGGAGGAGAACCAGCAAUGUCUGGUAGAGGAGGGUGAGGUAGAAGAGGAAGAGGAGGAAAAGGAGGAGGCAGAGGAGGAUUAAGGGCAGUGAUGUCUGGUAGAUGUGGAGGAGGACGAAAGCCAGCAAUGUCUCAUAGAUUAGGAGGAGGAGGAGGAAAGCCAGCAAUGUCUUGUAGAGGAGGAGGAGGAGGAGGAGGAUAAGAGCUAGUGAUGUCUGGUAGAGGAGCAGGAUGAGAAGGAGGAGGAAGAGGAGGAAGAAGGCCAGCGAUGUCUGGUAGAGAAGGAGGAGGAGGGGGGAGGAUGAGGAGGUGGAUGGCCAUCAAUGUCUGGUAGAGGAGGAGGAGGAGGAGGAGAAAGAGGAGGAGGAGAAGGAGGAGGAGCAGGAAGGUGAACAAUGUCUGGUAGAGGAGGAGGAGGAGGAGGAGUCCGCGGGCGAACAAUGUCUGGUAGAGGAAGAGGAGGACGAGUGCCCUAAAUGUCUGGUAGAGGAGGAGGAGCAGGAAGGCCAGUGAUGUCUUGUAGAGCAGAAGGAGGAGCAGGAGGAGGAGGAGAGGCAGUGAUGUCUGGAAGAGGAGGAAGAGGAGGAGGAAGGCCAGCAACAUCUGUUAGAAGAGGAGUAGGAGGAAGGCCAGCCAUGUCUCGUAGAGGAGGAGGAGGGCCAGCAAUGUCUGGUAGAGGAAGAGGAGGACGAAUGCCCUAAAUGUCUGGUAGAGGAGGAGGAGCAGGAGGGCCAGUGAUGUCUUGUAGAGAAGAAGGAGGAGCAGGAGGAGGAGGAGAGGCAGUGAUGUCUAGAAGAGGAGGAGGAGGGCCAGCAAUGUAUGGUAGAGGAGGAGGAUGACGAGGCCAUCAUUGUCUGGUAGAGGAGGAGGAGGAGGAAGAGGAGGAGGAGGAAGAGGAGUAGGAGAAAGAGGAGGGCCAGUGAUGACUGCUACAGAAGGGGCAGGAAGAGAAGGAGAAGGAGGAGGAGGAGGAGAGUCAUAGAUGUCUGGAAGAGGACGAGGUGGAGGAGGAAGAAGUCCAACAAUGUCUGGUACAGGAGGGGGGAAGAGGAGGAGGAGGAGGGUCAGUGAUGUCUGGGAGAAGAGGAGGAGGAGGGCCAGUGAUGUC
rnacentral:lncRNA from 1 species